rnacentral:rRNA from 1 species
GACGUAGGGUGCAAGCGUUGUCCGAAGUUACUGGGCGUAAAGCGCGCGUAGGCGGGUUGGUAAGUCCGCUGUGAAAGCCCGGAGCUCAACUCCGGAGGGUCGGUGGAUACUGCCAGUCUUGAAGGUGCUAGGGGGAGAUGGAAUUACCGGUGUAGCGGUGAAAUGCGUAGAUAUCGGUAGGAACACCAGUGGCGAAGGCGGUCUCCUGGGGCAUUCUUGACGCUGAGGCGCGAAAGCUGGGGGAGCGAACGGG